UGAUUGCGAAUACUGGAUCGUGCAAGC
rnacentral:piRNA from 1 species